UUUGCAUAUUUCAAUAGCGGAGGAAAAGAAACUAACAAGGAUUCCCCUAGUAACGGCGAGUGAAGUGGGAAAAGCUCAACUUUGAAAUCUGGUACUUUCAGUAUCCGAAUUGUAGUCUCAAGAAGUGUUUUCUGUGCCGGUCCAUGUAUGAGUCUGUUGGAACACAGCGUCAUAGAGGGUGACAACCCCGUUCAUGACAUGGAUCCCGGUGCUUUGUGAUACACUCUCGAAGAGUCGAGUUGUUUGGGAAUGCAGCUCAAAUUGGGUGGUAAAUUCCAUCUAAAGCUAAAUAUUGGCGAGAGACCGAUAGCAAACAAGUACCGUGAGGGAAAGAUGAAAAGCACUUUGGAAAGAGAGUUAACAGUACGUGAAAUUGUUGAAAGGGAAACGAUUGAAGUCAGACGUGCGUGAUGCGGUUCAGCUUUAGUUCGCUAGAGUGUACUCCGUAUCUUUGCAGGCCAACAUCGGUUUUGUUAGUCGGAUAAAGGUUUGAGAAAUGUGGCACCUUCGGGUGUGUUAUAGUCUCAGACUGAAUACGAUUGAUGGGACCGAGGAACGCAGCGCGCCGCAAGGCUAAAGGUCCGACCUUUCGCGCUAGGACAUG
rnacentral:rRNA from 1 species